CCUGGCUGCACGGGCUGGGAGAAGGUUAAGCGUAGGGACAUUCACAAUUCGAACUGGGGGGCGAUCAGACACUUUAAACAAAACGACAGCAAACUUUUUGAUUAGGAUUAGAUAACAUUAAAAUCAACAAAACUGCAGUGAUGUCAGUUUAUUCAAACUCUGGACCCAGACAUAGUUGUAAUAGCAGUUGAGGGGCAUGAGAGAGGAGCUGAUCUAGCGGAGAUACGAUUGCGAACGGUCGAAUUGGAGUGUUCGAAUUCUGGAGAAGAGUGUCGCUGGAGCGAUAGCAAGAACUGGUCAGCAAGUAGCUGUGAAGGAUUAUUUGGUUGAUGUGGGAGUAGACCCUCAGGAUGAGGUGGAUGUGGAUCGUGUGGGUGCUGUCUGUAUGGCGUUCCUGUCUGUGCUCUGAUCAGGUGAGAUCCUCUACUUAUUAUUGCACGAGAUGUAUCAUUAAUCCGUUGACUGCCUGCUUGGAUGGAUUGGGUCCGAUCUGACCAGAUGCGCUGCAGAUGUUUGGUUUAUUUUUAACAACCGCUUCCUGCAUUGUCAGCCAGACUCUGUGUGGCUGUGGGUGAUAGGAGUUGUAGUAAUUCAAAGGCUGCGAUAUUUAGCUUAACAUGCCAAGUGAAAGAAUAUUGUUCCUUAAACUGUGAUUUACAUAUCUGGUGAUGGAUUACUGUGUUUGUAUGUUGUGACAUAAAUAAAAAUGAUUUUUUUUUUACAACAGUUUCACUGUAUGAAACUAAAUAGAUAUAGAUUGUGAGGCACAUAAAUAUUUUUUUUUUUAGAAAAUUUGUAAAGAGAGGCGUUGCAGAGAGUUUGCC